GAUGAACGCUAGCGGCAGGCCUAACACAUGCAAGUCGAGGGGCAGCAUAAAACAAGCUUGCUUGUUUGGUGGCGACCGGCGCACGGGUGCGUAACGCGUAUGCAACCUACCCUGUACUGGGGGAUAGCCCGGAGAAAUUCGGAUUAAGACCCCAUAGCACUUAAGAAUGGCAUCAUUCAUAAGUUAAAGGUUACGGUACAGGAUGGGCAUGCGUCCCAUUAGCUAGAUGGUAAGGUAACGGCUUACCAUGGCAACGAUGGGUAGGGGGCCUGAGAGGGUGGUCCCCCACACUGGUACUGAGACACGGACCAGACUCCUACGGGAGGCAGCAGUGAGGAAUAUUGGUCAAUGGGCGCAAGCCUGAACCAGCCAUGCCGCGUGCAGGAAGACGGUCCUAUGGAUUGUAAACUGCUUUUAUCUGGGAAGAAAAAGUCCAUGCGUGGAAAAUUGCGGUACCAGAUGAAUAAGCACCGGCUAACUCCGUGCCAGCAGCCG
rnacentral:rRNA from 1 species